AGGUAGGAUGGAUGGAUGGAUGAGCAUUGGUUGAUCACGCUGACCAGUCGGACUUAAGUCAGUAACUUGUUCAAUCCAAGGACUCCCUCC
rnacentral:tRNA from 1 species